rnacentral:lncRNA from 1 species
UGGCCUCCACUUCUGGUAGUCUGAGCUCCACCUCUAUGACCUCUACCUCCACUUAUGGCACCUCUACCCCCACCUCUAGCUGGUUGGGCAGGCUGUGGAACACCUGGUGCUUGAACCAUGGCACGAUAACCCUGGUGUUGAGAACUGCUCGGUGCUCGGGGGUAAAAUCUGGCAAUAUGACCUGUGUCACCACAAGUGUAAUAAGUCCUCGGCUGCUGAUUCUGCUGGCCCUGUUGACCUGAAUGACCACCACGGAAACUCUAAAGUGGCGUGCAUUGAUAGGAGCUGGCAGUGCACUAAAUGGCAGCUAAUCAGAAUAGUGCGCGUGAGAACCACGACCACCUGAGGAAUCGUUAAACACCUG